rnacentral:lncRNA from 1 species
CUGGUGAUUCCUCCAUGAUCAGGGAGAGAGGCCGGCAUGGAAAUCAAUCCAUUCUUUUCCUCACUCUCACUUCAAUCAUCCACGCAGUCAUCUUUGUACUCACAGGUGUGACACAAUAGGGCACAGACCCGAGCGUGACACAGGUGGUGCCAGCUGCCGAAUCAGGUUUCAUGGUUGUGAAGAGGAAAGUAAAGGCGAUGUUCAGCUCGUCUCCCUGAAGAAUGUCCCCCUGAAUCAGGACGGGAAGUCCUUCCCGUGACUCCACUGAAAGAUAUCAGGCCUGUGUAAGGACAGUGUGUCGGAGCACAGCCACAUGACGGUCCACUCAUUGGCCUACAUCAUACCGUUUAUCCAAGACGGGUUUACACUUACACACCUAGCACGGGGCAUCUCAGAAGAGAACUUAUGAAAUAGACUGAAAUUUAAUGAUAGAUCUUCUUGGGUAGU